AUUGAACGCUGGCGGCAGGCCUAACACAUGCAAGUCGAACGAGUGGCGGACGGGUGAGUAAUGUCUGGGAAACUGCCUGAUGGAGGGGGAUAACUACUGGAAACGGUAGCUAAUACCGCAUACCAUCAGAUGUGCCCCGAUGGGAUUAGCUUGUUGGUGUGGUAACGGCUCACCAAGGCAACGAUCCCUAGCUGGUCUGAGAGGAUGACCGGCAACAGUGGAACGUGGAAACGGUCCAAACUCCAAGGGGAGGCAGCAGUGGGGAAUAUUGCACAAUGGGCGCAAGCCUGAUGCAGCCAUGCCGCGUGUAUGAAGAAGGCCUUCGGGUUGUAAAGUACUUUCAGCGGGGAUGCGUUACCCGCAGAAGAAGCACCGGCUAACUCCGUGCCAGCAGCCGCGGUAAUAC
rnacentral:rRNA from 1 species